CACGGCUCUGGGAGCUGCAUUUAAGGCCAGACCUUGCCCCUUUCCUGAGUUAUAGGGUUUGUGGCUUGAGCCUGGCUUCCCUCCUGGGCUUGCUGCAGACCUGCCUCACCCCUCUGGACCUGGCUGGUGAUCUGGAUUGACCCUGCUCAACGUCACAGGAUCCAUCCUGCCUUUCUGGCUCAGGUGGCUGAAAGAGCCCAGAGUGGUAAAAUGAAGGCUUGUCAAGCUCUCAGGAAGAAGAGGCUGCCCAUCCUACAUCUGUGUUUUCCCUCCCCUCUCCUACCCUGCUGCAUUUCAGAAGGAACAACAGAGCCAGGCUGUACCAACUCUUUCCAGCACUGUGGAGAGGCAUUCACUUGUUCUAACACCAAGAGGUUUGCACCUCCUGGGUGGGGAGGGCACUCUGGGUUUAUUUAAAGGUGGGCCAGAGUAUUAGCAACCUUCAAUGAAAGGAGGGAAGGAAGGAGCUGAUCUUGCAGACAAAUGAUUCCCAUUCCAGUGACACCCAGCAGAGCACUGGUGAGAAAGCAGCAGGCAAUGGCAGUGUGAGCAGAGAAGAGCAGUCCUGUGUUGGCAACCACUGAAGAGGCAGGGAAGAGCUACAAAGCAGCAAUGGAAGUGAUGAAAACUAAAAUGAGUUUGGGCUUCAGUGAUCAGAAAGGAAAAAGGGGAAGAGGAACAUGCAAAUGGCAAGACAGGAGAAUUGGUUUCACCACCCAGGACUGGAUUCUUACAAGCUGCUCUUUGCCUCCCAGAUUGAUCUGAUUUCAACCCAUAUUUAUUCUCAUCCCCCACAAUCCUGCUGCUAAUCUCUUUUGCUCAUUAUGGAAGUUAAUUACAGCAGAGAUGAUGACUCAUUACACUGAGGUUUACUGAAAAUACUGUUCCCACAAAAGCUUAUGUAAGGCUGAUCUUUGGGCAUCCUUCCCUGAUGGGCAUCAUGUGCUUCAGCACCAGCUCUGCCUUCAGGGCUCGGCUCAAAGCAUCAAAGUUUCUCCAGGUUCAGUGGUGGGCAAGUCUCAUCUCACCUCUGGCACUGACUUGGCAAGCAGCUGGAGAAAAUCAAGUGUCUGGUUAAUUAAUGCUUGUUAAGAAGGGGCUUGGUGAGGGGGAGAGGACUAGGACUCGGGGUUCUGUUUCCUGCUAACCUGCCUCUGGCUCCAUACCUGUUUUCUGAUUUCUUGUGCUAAGGACUAAGAGAAGACCAGGAAGCAUCCCAUGGGAUGGGGAAAAAGAAAGGAGAGCUUAAAAACUGAAAAGCACUUCCCACCAUGAGGAACAGCUGGGAUGUAGGAGUCAUUGAUAUUUCCCUGCCCAAGGAAUGAGAUCAGGAGCAGGCUUCUCCACACGCACCCCCUCUUCCCCUUCCAUCAGCCUGCCAAGAGCUGCUGUGUGGGCAGAGCCCUGGGAGGCUGCUGUGGCUCUUCCAAACUCUCCUCCAGCCACCAGCUGGGCUCUAAGCAGGCUCACCUGGAGAAAAGCAGCUGACCCACCCAGCAGGCCCAGCCCAAGAGCUCUCCAUAAGCCACCAGUUUAGAGUUUGCAGUUACUCCCAGAACACAUCCCUCAACCUAGCUCCAGCCCUGCUGCCUCCUGCUCGGGCUAAGGCUGCCCAGCUCAGCCCCACAGUGAGGACCAUGGGGAGAAGGAAUGCAGACCUGCCUCUGUGGGCCCUGAGGUGAUGAGCAGGAUCUCUGGGGUCAGGUAAUUCAGCCUCUGAUGCACAAUUUGAUUGAGAAAUCACAGCGUGGCAGAGAGCA